rnacentral:piRNA from 1 species
UGGCAGAGCCUGAAGUCUGAGUGACCCCAGU